AUCCAGAUAACGAGUCCCGAAUGGGACAAAACGCGUGUCCUGUAU
rnacentral:hammerhead_ribozyme from 1 species